rnacentral:rRNA from 1 species
GGUCAGGAUGAACGCUAGCGGCAGGCCUAACACAUGCAAGUCGCGGGGCAGCACGGGUAGCAAUACCUGGUGGCGACCGGCGCACGGGUGAGUAACGCGUAUGCAACCUACCUAUCGAGAGGGGAAUAACCCGGCGAAAGUCGGACUAAUACCGCAUAAAACAGGGGCACCGCAUGGUGAUAUUUGUUAAAGAAAUUCGCUGAUAGAUGGGCAUGCGUUCCAUUAGGUAGUUGGUGAGGUAACGGCUCACCAAGCCGACGAUGGAUAGGGGAACUGAGAGGUUGGUCCCCCACACUGGUACUGAGACACGGACCAGACUCCUACGGGAGGCAGCAGUGAGGAAUAUUGGUCAAUGGGCGGGAGCCUGAACCAGCCAAGUCGCGUGAAGGAAAGAAGGAUCUAUGGUUCGUAAACUUCUUUUGCAGGGGAAUAAAGUGCAGGACGUGUCCUGUUUUGUAUGUACCCUGAGAAUAAGGAUCGGCUAACUCCGUGCCAGCAGCAGC